GUGAGACAGGCGCUGCAUGGCUGUCGUCAGCUCGUGUUGUGAAAUGUUGGGUUAAGUCCCGCAACGAGCGCAACCCUUAUCCUUUGUUGCCAGCGAUUAGGUCGGGAACUCAAAGGAGACUGCCAGUGAUAAACUGGAGGAAGGUGGGGAUGACGUCAAGUCAUCAUGGCCCUUACGACCAGGGCUACACACGUGCUACAAUGGCGCAUACAAAGAGAAGCGACCUCGC
rnacentral:rRNA from 1 species